rnacentral:rRNA from 1 species
CACGUAGGGCGCAAGCGUUGUCCGGAAUUAUUGGGCGUAAAGAGCUCGUAGGUGGUUUGUUACGUCUGCUGUGAAAACCUAGGGCUUAACCCUGGGCUUGCAGUGGAUACGGGCAGACUAGAGGUAGGUAGGGGAGAAUGGAAUUCCUGGUGUAGCGGUGAAAUGCGCAGAUAUCAGGAGGAACACCGGUGGCGAAGGCGGCGACCUGGUCCGAUACUGACGCUGAGGCGCGAAAGCGUGGGGAGCAAACAGG